rnacentral:rRNA from 1 species
GCAGUCGAACGAACUCUGGUAUUGAUUGGUGCUUGCAUCAUGAUUUACAUUUGAGUGAGUGGCGAACUGGUGAGUAACACGUGGGAAACCUGCCCAGAAGCGGGGGAUAACACCUGGAAACAGAUGCUAAUACCGCAUAACAACUUGGACCGCAUGGUCCGAGUUUGAAAGAUGGCUUCGGCUAUCACUUUUGGAUGGUCCCGCGGCGUAUUAGCUAGAUGGUGGGGUAACGGCUCACCAUGGCAAUGAUACGUAGCCGACCUGAGAGGGUAAUCGGCCACAUUGGGACUGAGACACGGCCCAAACUCCUACGGGAGGCAGCAGUAGGGAAUCUUCCACAAUGGACGAAAGUCUGAUGGAGCAACGCCGCGUGAGUGAAGAAGGGUUUCGGCUCGUAAAACUCUGUUGUUAAAGAAGAACAUAUCUGAGAGUAACUGUUCAGGUAUUGACGGUAUUUAACCAGAAAGCCACGGCUAACUACGUGCCAGCAGCCGCGGUAAUACGUAGGUGGCAAGCGUUGUCCGGAUUUAUUGGGCGUAAAGCGAGCGCAGGCGGUUUUUUAAGUCUGAUGUGAAAGCCUUCGGCUCAACCGAAGAAGUGCAUCGGAAACUGGGAAACUUGAGUGCAGAAGAGGACAGUGGAACUCCAUGUGUAGCGGUGAAAUGCGUAGAUAUAUGGAAGAACACCAGUGG